rnacentral:rRNA from 1 species
AUUGAACGCUGGCGGCAGGCUUAACACAUGCAAGUCGAGCGGGGAAGGGUAGCUUGCUACCUAACCUAGCGGCGGACGGGUGAGUAAUGCUUAGGAAUCUGCCAUUUAGUGGGGGACAACAUUCCGAAAGGAAUGCUAAUACCGCAUACGUCCUACGGGAGAAAGCAGGGGAUCACUUGUGACCUUGCGCUAAUAGAUGAGCCUAAGUCGGAUUAGCUAGUUGGUGGGGUAAAGGCGUACCAAGGCGACGAUAUGUAGCGGGUCUGAGAGGAUGAGCCUCCACACUGGGACUGCGACACGGCGCAGAAUCGUACGGGAGGCAGCAGUGGGGAAUAUUGGACAAGGGGGGGAACCCUGAUCCAGCCAUGCCGCGUGUGUGAAGAAGGCCUUAUGGUUGUAAAGCACUUCAAGCGAGGAGGAGGCUACUUUAGUUAAUACCUAGAGAUAGUGGACGUUACUCGCAGAAUAAGCACCGGCUAACUCUGUGCCAGCCGCCGCCGUAA